rnacentral:lncRNA from 1 species
ACAGUUCAGUGAACUCUUGUACCUCAUGUACAAUCCAGUAUACACUCAUGUAUGUCCUGUGUACAGUCCAAUAUAUACUUGUGUAUGUCCAGUGUACAGCCCAAUGUACAGUCCAGUGUAUGGUCUAGUAUACACUUGUGUAUGUUCAGUGUACAGUCCAAUAGUCAUAUACAUCCAGUGUACAACCCAGUAUAGUAUAUACUCCAGGGUAUUGUCCAAUAUACACUCGUGUACAUCCAGUGUUCAGGCCGAUGUACAACCCAGGGUACGUCCAGUGUACACUCAUGUAUGUCCAGUGUACACUCAUGUAUGUCCAGUGUACACUCAUGUAUGUCCAGUGUACACUCAUGUAUGUCCAGUGCACACUCAUGUACGUCCAGUGCACCAUCCAGUGUACAGUCUGGUAUACACUCCAGUGUACUGCCCUGUUCACUGUUCCUUGAAAUAA